rnacentral:sRNA from 1 species
AAAUAAAACGAACUAACCAAAUAUUUAAAUAAUAUUUCAAAUAUUAUAUGAAUUAUAAAUAAAAUAAUUUGGUACGGUUAUUAUUUAUAAUAUAAUUCGCCUAUAAUAAUUUUAUUUUAUAUUAAUUAUAAAUUUAAUUUUACGGCGUAUUAAAAACCAAAAAUUACAAUUAUAAUACCGCGAACCGAUAAAUAAAUAAACGAACUACGAAAAUUGUACCAAAAGUUUUAAUAAAAGUUAAAAUUUAUACGGGAAAAAAUAAUAAAAUACGCCAAUUAAUAUCGGAUAAAGAAAUUAUUUUUUAAAAAAAAAUAACGUUUAUUUUAUUCGACGCAAUUUUAAAAUAUAACGACCAAAAAGCAAAUUUAAUUUUAAAAAAGUUUGGAUUUUUUAAAAUUAAUAAAAGAAUUAGCGGAAUUAAUUAUAAAUAAUUAUUACCAAAUAUUAUCAAGGUUUACCCCAUAUUUUAUAUAUUAUAAUUAAAACCGGUAUUAUAAGGUAUUAAUAUAUAAAAAACAAUCGGAAUCGACGCAAAAUAAAUAUAUAACGUUGAAUAAAUAUUCGAUUAUAAACGAAAUGACGGUAAAAUAAAAUAUUUUAUUAAAUAGGUAAAUUACGGAUACGAAAAGAAUGUUUGGAAAUUUUUUAAUUAUUUACAAAAUUGCCAAAAAUUAUUGCGUUACUAUUAUUAAAGAUUAAAAUUACAAAUAAAUUAACCAAAAAAAGGACAAUUUAAAAAAAUAUUAUUCAUUAUUUCCAAAAAUUAAAAACCAAUUAAAAUUCGAAAUUAUCUUAUUAAAUAAACUUAUAAAGAAAUAAUUAAUAUAUACCGUAUAUUAAAAUAUAUAAAUAAAAUAAUGUAUUAACCAAAUAUUGCGUAAAAACACUGUUUUUAUCCAAUAAAACUUUGUUUAAAAAACCUAUUGGGAAAAUCGAAUUGCAAACAAAAUUGGAAUUCGGGAUAAUAAUUUCAGGGAUAUUUUAGGAAAAGUUUCGACCGAUCGCCGUCGUUUUUCCUAUUUUAUUUUUUUAUAUUUUAUAUAAUUUAAUUUUUUCAAGUUAUUAAUUCCGCGAAAUAUAAUUCGCAUUAUUUUUUUAAAUUAUAAUUUUUUUUAUUUCCGCAAACGGAAAAAUUUCAAUUGUUUUUUUUGGAUUUUUUAUUAUUUAGUUAAAAUAUAUUUUUCCAAAAUUUCCAUUUCGGCGUUUAAUUUUAAAUAUUACCGAUUAUCAUUGCGCAAUUGGAUAUUUAAAAUAUUUAAUAUAUUAUAAUUAAAAUAAUUAACGCGGAAAUAUUUAAUAUAACAAAAAGAAUCCUGUAGCCAAAUUAUAUAACGUAUUAUACCGCGCGAUUUGUAAUAAAAAUACGAAAAUAUAUUUACGGAAAAAAAAAGAAAAAAAAGGAAAACGUGGCGACGUUCCGUCGACGAACAACCAAAUUUCGAUUUGGUUACGCAAUUAAAUAUAGCGCAAAGAAAUAAGAAAAAAAAAUAAAAAUUAAAAUUAAAAAAAUAUAAAUUAUUUAAAAACCAAAGGGAUUUAAUUAAAAAAAAGGAAAUUUAAUAUUAUAACCAGGGAAAUUAAAUUGGUAUUAAAAAAAAUGGGCGGAAUUAUACCUUUUUUUAUAAUAUUCGCUUAAAAAAACCAUCGACCGAUAAAAAAAAAACUUAUAUAAAAAAAAUUACGUAAUAUUACGUAAUUGCCAAAAAAAUUAAUUUCGGUAAUUUGUAAAAUUUUAAUUGGGAAUUACAAAUUAAACAAAUUAAAAAAAUUAUAUUAAAAAUAUAAAUUAUAUAAAAUAUAUUUAUUACCAGGUAAAUAAAUU